AGUUUGUGCUGUGAAGAAAUGCGGGGAUUAGGAUAGGACCAGAGGGGUUGGGCUGUCCAGUGAUAAGAGCAGAGGCCUGAGAACUAAGAAAAUGUAAGGGUUCAAGUUCCAGCAGAGACCUUACACAAGCUGUUUGCCAUUCUUGUGUUUACCCAGUUUUACCAGAAUUGAUGGACAGAGACUAAUUAAGGAAUAAAUAAGGAAACUUUGAGUUAAAAAAUCUAGAACACCACUCUGCCAGAAAUAAAUGGCCUAUGACAGUCAUGCUGGGAUGCUGGAACAAUUUAUAUAGUGGGGGUGCUGAGAGCCAUUGAACCAAACUGCAAACUCCGUGUAUGAUGGAAACCACUUCAAGCUAGGGGGCGCGGUAGCACCC
rnacentral:lncRNA from 1 species